UAAGGAAUAUUGGUCAAUGGACGCAAGUCUGAACCAGCCAUGCCGCGUGAAGGAUGAAGGUCCUCUGGAUUGUAAACUUCUUUUAUCUGGGACGAAAACGGGAUUUUUAUCUCAAUUGACGGUACCAGAGGAAUAAGCACCGGCUAACUCCGUGCCAGCAGCCGCGGUAAUACGGAGGGUGCGAGCGUUAUCCGGAUUUACUGGGUUUAAAGGGUGCGUAGGUGGGCUUAUAAGUCAGUGGUGAAAUCUCCGAGCUUAACUUGGAAACUGCCGUUGAUACUAUAGGUCUUGAAUUAUCUGGAGGUAAGCUGAAUAUGUCAUGUAGCGGUGAAAUGCUUAGAUAUGACAUAGAACACCAAUUGCGAAGGCAGCUUACUACAUAUAAAUUGACGCUGAGGCACGAAAGCGUGGGGAUCAAACA
rnacentral:rRNA from 1 species